rnacentral:misc_RNA from 1 species
GGACAAACCCAAGUCUCCUGCUCCUGUCUACUUCUUAAAGUCUCCGUCUCUCCCCGCCCUUUUCCUUUCUUUACUUUUGUUUUGAAUGGGUCCUCGUUUUGCACACGCUUCGGCCUUCAGCUCUUUCAUUUUUCCACAUUUCCUUCUGGCGAGUGGCCACCAUUUAAGCCUGACGUACUACUUGUCAACGACCCAGAUUCUCUAAAUCUUAAAGGAAAUGACUUUGUACGUCAAGUUACUGACAGCUUGUGGGAGCAUGUACAAAGCUGCUCAGGGUCUUUACCAUCUGAUCCUCAAGAAGUUCAGAAGAGAUUUCCGCCUUUGAAGAGGCAGAGAUGGCUGGUGUGGUUCACAUUCGAGGGAAGACGAGAUUUUACAUAGGAGACAACUGUGACUGCAGGUCUGCACUGCCAAUUCUUGGUGUGCCACAACCACAAUGAUAUGUAACUAAACAUACAUCCUCCUUUCUUAUGCUUACUAUCAAAAUUUUCAGCAUACGGUUCAAAGAAUUAGAUGCGGAGACGUGAGAACUAAGAAGCAUUUGUUUUUUGGUAA